rnacentral:lncRNA from 1 species
AUUGUGAAUCCACUUUAUUUUGUUGAUGCUUGAAUUUUGACGUUUUAGACAACCUCUAAUCUGAUGGCUUGGCUCUUGACAAUAGAAAUACAAUCCCUUUUGUGAAUAUAUUUGUAGUCUUUGUAGUGUCAAUAAUCUUUGUAGGGUAUCAAUUUCCAUUUGUGUUGAUUGUUGUGCCAUAAUAUUAGAUAGUGGCAUAGGACUUUUUGCUAUAGGUCAUGCUCCAUGAUUUUUGAAAUCCAUAGAAUUGAUUGUCUUUGCAAUCCUAAUUGUCUCUUCAAAUGUUUGUGGAUCUCUUAAUUCUACCUGUGGCUAGACCUCAAGUUUCAAACCUUGUAGAAAUUAAUCCAUCAUCUCUACCUCU